rnacentral:rRNA from 1 species
UACGGAGGGUGCGAGCGUUAAUCGGAAUUACUGGGCGUAAAGGGUUCGUAGGUGGUUAGAUAAGUCAGAUGUGAAAGUCCUGGGCUCAACUUGGGGAUUGCAUUUGAAACUGUUUGACUAGAGUUUACUAGAGGAGUGGGGAAUUCUCGGUGUAGCGGUGAAAUGCGUAGAUAUCGGGAAGAACAUCAAUGGCGAAGGCAACACUCUGGGGUAUGACUGACACUGAGGGACGAAAGCGUGGGUAGCAAACAGG